GGGGAUUUAGCUCAGUGGUCGAGCGUUUGCCUAGCAAGCGCAAGGCCCUGGGUUCGGUCCCCAGCUCCA
rnacentral:tRNA from 1 species